CGCAGCCGCGGUAAUUCCAGCUCCAAUAGCGUAUAUUAAAGUUGUUGCAGUUAAAAAGCUCGUAGUUGAAUUUCGGGAUUGACGUGACGGUCGUGCCUUAAGGGGUAUGAACUGUCGCCGUUGAUUUCUCACCUUCUGGAGAAGCUCGAUGUCCUUAAUUGGAUGUCUUGUGGAACCAGGACCUUUACCUUGAAAAAAUUAGAGUGUUUAAAGCAGGCAUUUUGCUCGAAUACAUUAGCAUGGAAUAAUAGAAUAGGACGGCAUGGUUCUAUUUUGUUGGUUCCUAGGAUCACCGUAAUGAUUAAUAGGGAUAGUUGGGGGCAUUAGUAUUCAAUUGUCAGAGGUGAAAUUCUUGGAUUUAUUGAAGACUAACUACUGCGAAAGCAUUUGCCAAGGAUGUUUUCAUUAAUCAAGAACGAAAGUUAGGGGAUCGAAGACGAUCAGAUACCGUGUAGUCUUAACCAUAAACUAUGCCGACUAGGAACUCAGACGAUGUUAAUUUUUAAUGACUCGUUU
rnacentral:rRNA from 1 species